rnacentral:lncRNA from 10 species
AUUGUAAUGUGUUUUAAAGGCUUUUUGAUAGAGGGUAGGCUUCUUUAGCUCAUAUGUCUAAGCUUUCUAUCUUUGAAUUACAGUUGAAGUUUAAUGAUCUAGUAAGCACCUGUAAAGCAUACAGAAAGGAAACAAGGGGAUAGUUCACCCUUUCAGAAUGCUUUACUGACAUAGACUCAUAAAAAUGAUUCAAUAAUUUAAAUUAUAGAUUAUGGAGCUGCAAUUGUUUCAGAAAUUAUGUAAUUCUUUUGCAUGCUUUUGAUUUUAUGGAUCAAUAAAAGAAGACUGAAGAGGAACAGAAUCACUUUGUUAAAGUCAUGCUGUGAAUUUAGUAGCAGAGCUUGAGCUGAAACGCACUUCCUUUGAUCUUAGUUCAAUAUUCUUUCUCUCCUCACCUCUUUUAUGUAUAAUGUUUGGGACCUAAUAUAUUAUGCUGCUGAGAACAUUUUCACGUUGAAUUAUAAAAGCAGGAAGAUGUAGAAUUAAUAAGAAAUAAAAUCAUUAAUGUCUAUAUAUAUAUAUUUUUUUUUUUAGUGUGCAACUUGCUUUGGUGUUUGCUGUUUUAUUGCCACAGAUGACAUUACUGAACUAUACUCAACUCUGGAAUGUUUGGAAAAUAUCUUCACUAAAUCCUAUCUCAAAGAGAAAGACACUACUGUUAUUUGCAGCACUCCUAAUACAGUGCUUCAUAUCAGCUCUCUUCUUGCAUGGACACUACUGCUGACCAUAUGCCCAAUCAAUGAAGUGAAGAAAAAGCUUGAGAUGCAUUUCCAUAAGCUUCCAAGCCUCCUCUCUUGUGAUGAUGUAAACAUGAGAAUAGCUGCUGGUGAAUCUUUGGCACUUCUCUUUGAAUUGGCCAGAGGAAUAGAGAGUGACUUUUUUUAUGAAGACAUGGAGUCCUUGACGCAGAUGCUUAGGGCCUUGGCAACAGAUGGAAAUAAACACCGGGCCAAAGUGGACAAGAGAAAGCAGCGGUCAGUUUUCAGAGAUGUCCUGAGGGCAGUGGAGGAACGGGAUUUUCCAACAGAAACCAU